AUGAUUUAUUACUUCUCUGCUAAAUAUUUCUCUGCUCAUAAGAAACAAGCUGCCUUAAGGGAUAUAUAUAAUUUUGUGCAAAUUAAAGAAGAGUCUCCCACAAGCUUGGGGAGGCUUCUCCAAUUACUUAAUGCUCUGCCUGAUCAUCCUCUUAAGAAAAAUGAAAUACUUGAUAUCUUUUAUAAUGGACUAACCGAUGCUUCCAGAGAUUACCUGGAUAGUUGUGCUGGUUCUGUUUUCAGGGAAAGAACACCGGAUGAAGCUGAAAUUUUAUUGAAUAAUAUGUUGACAAAUGCAAAUAAUUGGACACUUCCUGAGCCAGCUCCUGAGCCUAUUCCUAAACCAACUCCGAAAAAGGGGUGUUCUAUUUCUCAGUCCUGA
rnacentral:rRNA from 1 species